CCCUUAGAUGUCCGGGGCUGCACGCGCGCUACACUGAAGGAAUCAGCGUGCUAAAACCAUUGUCGAAAGGCAUUGGUAAACCCAUUAAAAUCCUACGUGAUUGGGAUCGGGAAUUGCAAUUAUUUCCCUUGAACGAGGAAUUCCCAGUAAGUGUGGGUCAUAAGCUCGCGUUGAUUACGUCCCUGCCCCUUGUACACACCGCCCGUCGCUGCCCGGGACUGAGCCGUUUCGAGAAAAGCGGGGACUGCUGCUGUCGGGGCUUUCGGGCCUUGGCUUCGGUGGAAACCGCUUUAAUCGCAGUGGCUUGAACCGGGCAAAAGUCGUAACA
rnacentral:rRNA from 1 species